rnacentral:ribozyme from 1 species
AGCACCAAAUUAUCUGCAAAUGAGUUAAUAUCCGACACCUCCUUGAAGGUUAAUAUAGACUCUCUUACUCUCUUACUCUUUCUCCUAUCCUGCGACGUCCGUUUCGUAUAGUGGUAACAUGUAUCAUAGUAUAUUCAAGCAUGGCUGCACGGGCCCAGUCCCAACCCCUUGGGCGGAUGAUGGUACAUACAUGGCCAACCAGGAGGGG